UCUCUCUCCUUCUUAAUUAUGCACGCACGCACGCACGCAGCACCCACACCUGCACCGAAAGAGAGAAAGAGAUCCAAUUGUGGAUUAACGAAACGUCACUGCUCGCGCACGUGAGUACACGUCGAAGUUAGACGAACGUCACCGAUGGCACAGCGAUGCUGCGCAAUGUUACUAUUUGACGAACAAAAAAUAAUAACGACGUUAAGGAUGUUAAAUAUCCACACGAAUUGCGCACACUUGAGGCUCAUUUAUCUCUAACAAGUCACGAUUUCAUAUCAACCAUCUGUCGGCAAGCAGGUCUUUCCUCCUCGAAAAGUUUCCUUCCUUUAGCGAAAGGAAAAAUGGGAUAAAAUUCGAAGAAGGGAUAUCAGAGUGAUCAAGAAAAUCGGAGGGAGAGAGAGAGAGAGAGAGAGAGAGAGAGAGAGAAGAAAGGAGAAAAAAUAGAGCGCGCGCGCGCGUUCCCUAGAAAGAGAGAGAGGGAUGAAAGAGAUGACAGAGGGGAUAAAGGGGGUUAGAGGGGAGGGAGAGAUCUAGAUAUGCCUGCCGGCUUAAGCUUGUCAAAGAAACAUUUGAUGGUGCUCCUCUUGGAGAGCAGUGGUGGUUGCGGCGGCGGUGGCGGUGGCGGUGACGGUAGCUGUAGCAACGAUAAUAAUUCCUCGUAAUUCUCUUGUCUAUUCCUAUUCGUUUUUUCUUUCUUUUUAGGGAUAGAGACGAUACGAUCCCACGUCACGUACGAGUGGCAAAGUGCGAACAACGAAGCGGCGGAAGUAACAGUGAGCAAGAUGGAAAGACACGCGUCUCGAAGCUGCCGCGAGUGACUAAGCUCGUCCAAGUCGAGCGAGUCAUGCAGUAGGAAGUAUCGCCUACUUGCUUGCCGCCAGAUUCUAUCCCCACUUUGGUAUCGUCGAUAUCGCCAACGUUCUACUCGGAGAGAUGGAAAGCGAGCGCCCUGAUCCACCACUGGUGUGCGCCGUCGAUGCGCGCGCGCCUGAUGCGCACCGUUCAUCUGCGCUAACUUGUCCCACUGCUCUCCAAUUCUCCUUCAAAGAUACUGACCACUUGUUUGGAUCGACGUGUUCCCGAUGAAUAGAGCCACCCUUUCCAUCCCUCCUCGGAUUCGCACCCCAUCGUGACGAAACAUUUCAUUUUCAUUUCGACCAAUUAAAGUGCUAAUGAAGAAUCUUUCCCUAAUACUAAUCAAAAAACUUAUGAUUGGAAUGAAACGAAAAAAUUGAUACAAGAGAGAGAGAGAGAGAGAGAGAGAGAGAGAGAGAGAGAAAACUAUCAAACGGCCUAGUCUUUGCUUAUCCGAAAAAUAUGAUACAAGGGAAAAUCUACUGGGAGAUGGCAGCACCAUCUACGAGGAGGAGGAGGAGGAGGAGGAUUUCAUUUUACAUUAAAUGAUCCUGAUAAAAUUGCAUCUAAAAUGCAUUUUAAUUGCGUCUGCGACGAUCGUCUUAUUGAUUUCGCAUAUUUCAUAUUUUACUGAUUAUUUUGAAUUUUGAAAAACAGGACAGCGCGCGCGCGCGUUUAUCUAUUUACCGUCCAAAGUCGAACGUGAUGAAAUUCCCGCGGCACUCAUUGGAGAAGGAGCUUCGCCAAUGAGGCGCCGACGUUAAGCGUCUUCUCUCGCGAAGAGAAAUAAUCGAAGUGCAGCCUACGAUAAACGGGUAGGGAACUCCGACGAGAGACUAUGGAAGGGGAUUCGCUGACUUCCUCGUAGCUUCCUCGUAAUUGUUAUCGCGAUUGUUGCCACCGAGUUAAACCUAACCGAUCGUUGACACACUCGAGGAGAAUGAAACUGCGCGUGGUCAAACCGCUUUUCGAAGUGUCCAAAGACCAAAGUCGCUUGUAUUUGUUGACUGCCUGCACCAAGUGCCAAGUCCGCCCGCGUUUGAUAGAUUGUUCCAACCCUGACGCAAAUCUGACAAAAUUCACAAACUUUAGGAUGCGUUCGAAACAUAUAUUACAAAAAUAAAAAGUAAGUAACAUAAGAACAAUAUUGUUUGGUGAAAAAAAAAGCGCGCCAAACAUCAUGACCAGCACCAUCAGUCACAAGCACCAUAGGAAUUGGUGCUACUCAUAAGCCAAGCAGGCAGGCAGGCAGGCAGGCAGGAAGGCAAGCAGGCAGGAAGGCAAGCAGGCAGGCAGGCAGGCAGGCAGGCAGGCAGGGCAGGAUAUAACAGGAACCCUCACUUCUACGGAAGGGUCUCCGAAAAAGAUGAGAAAAAAGGUCAUGUGAGGAUAGAAGGGAGAAAAGCAAGAAAGGGAAACGGACUGAGUUUACCGCCUAUGAAUACACGUUCACCUGCGCGAGCGCGAACGCGCGUAACAUAAUACCAGGAGGAUCGCCUCGUAGAAAUGCCAAAAGAAUUUAGUUACAAGAGCAUGCGUUAUCUAGGGACUCUUUGGGACGCAUUGGGACGCAUUGGGACGCAUUGGGACGCAUUCGUCGAACCUUCGAACCUUUUCUAUAUACGCACACUUCUACAAGCGCGAUUACCCCAUAUCUCCAUAAACGAUGUUCCUUUUUUUCUUAUCGUUCUCGGUUUUGACAUUUCAAAAAUAAUGCUCGGGCUUGCGAUUAAUUAGGAAAUCAAAUAUUUUAUAAACAAAACAAAAAGAGACAAAGAGACAAACAUAUGUAUAUACAUCUAUAGGAUUGAUCCGGCGAGAGAAUUAGAUAGAAGACAUUAUACCAUUUGUUUCUUAUUAUUUUGGCCUACUCUUAACGAGGUGCUUCGUAAUCCCAACUCCUGGCUACUAACAAUAAGCGUUGCAGAUGUGUGUUUGUGUGCGACUGCAUACUACGAAGCCUAGACUCAUAUUAACUCAAUCCACACACUUAAAAAUAUAAGUUAGUUCUUCGACUGGCCACUAGACUAUUUACGUUUGUCAUAAGCAAAACUGUAUUAUAGUCUUUACAUAAGACUCCAACAUUAGAAAAAUUUAAGAUCUUUAUUUACAGGAUAAUGUCUGCAAUAUAAAAAUUCAAAUAUGCUCUCAGCGUAAGGCUGAGUCGAUGCAACUGUCAUGAGGAGUUAGUCGUAUCUAUCUUUUGUAAGAUUAACAACGAUUCAGAAUGUAAUUUGUAAACUGAUGGGUCUGUCGCACCUUUUACUUCUAAGUAAAGGGAACUAGAAGAAGAGAGAGAAGAAUCGAAGGCGUACAAUGUUCUUAUCGAAAGCACUGGAAUGAAGGAGGACGAGCGAGCGCUCAAAGAAGAAAGAAAAGGGUAGGAGGACAAUCGACGAUAUGCGCCAGGGUUUGCUGUUGUGUUUGCUGUUGUGUUUGCCCAACAGCUCCACUCGUCAUCCCGGAUGUACAACAUCUUUAUAUGCUAUUCUUCGAUGCAGUUACCUACCAACGCGAUUCUUCUCUUUUUCACCUAUUAACGAGUCUUCUUGAACUAUACCUAACUGCAUAUAGAGACAUGUAUGUACCCGUAUCGCGAAUACAACAGAAAUCAUAUAGUAUAACGUAUUACAAUAAAUAUUCGACCAAUUGAAAAAUAAACAAAAAGACAAAUAUCUAUCUAAUCUAAUUAGACGAUUAUUUAAUAAAUAAUAGAAUCGUUUGGUUAUUCAACUGAAAAUCCGACCGAACAAGUAUUCGUUGGUUCGUUUGGAGAAAGUGUCUCUUGUACCGAUGCCUUAAGGCGCAUUUCACAUGCGCUUUAAGAGCUCCGACUCGCCGCGAGCCGUCUGUGUGUGUGUGUGUGUGUGUUAACGCACGCUCGGCUUAUGUAAUCGGUUACGGUAAUAGCGUGGUAGUUAUAGCAAUCCGGGAGCAACCAACGGGUAACACAAUUCCUUGUUAAUACGCUAACGAAUACACUAACUCUUACAUUGUAUGCUUGAUAUUGCCAAUUUUCAUUGGAGAUUCCUCUUUUAAGCAUAAUAACUAAUAAAAAAUAAGAUUUUUAAGGUGACCGAGCGUUUCAUACAUUCUUAGACUCGUCGAAAUUGCGAUCGUUUUCUUGUUUUCCAAUGCAACAUGAAUUAAUUGUAAUUGUAAUUUUAAUAAUGCGUUAACGUUCGAACACGUAGUAAACUCUGGAAGUGAGCGGCAGACGCUUACAGCAAUGGCGACUUCAUGAUUUGACCCGUCGAGCCGACGAACCGGUUAUCAAUGCUCGGAAGCGUGUCGUUCGGCUCGAUUACGAUACGUCCUCCUCGAUGUAGGUGAGUACAGGAGCGUAUCGUGGCGUACCUUCCCUACUCAAUGCUACGCUAUUUUUUAUUGAAAUUCUGUCUUUUUAGUUUAUUUUAAGGAAAGACCAAUCCUGAAAACGAAUUGCUUUAACCUUCGAACCAAGUUUUUCGUAUUAAUUUGAAAAACGUGUAGGUAGGAAUUGCAUAAGUCUGGCUGGGUACGUACGCGAGCACUCGCUAAAGGCAAAGGCAAAGGCAAAGGCAAAGGCAAAGGCAAAGGCAAAGAGAAUCGGAUAGGAAGACGAACGAGCGGAACUGAGGUCCGUGGAGCUUCCUUUCCUUUCGACAUGCCUGGCUGCCUUCUCAUCCUCUCCCACAGAUUACAACCAACUUUUCUCUCUCUCUCUCUCUCUCUCUCUUGCGUGCGCGCGAGCGUCCAGGAGUACCUUCACUUGCUUGCACGAACAGCACACGUUCAAGCACAGGUUCUAACAUACACGCUCACCUUCUUACUCUCCCUCUCUUGCUUACCGAUGUGUAAGCACUACCACGUUAACAACGAGCAACGAGCCGCUGCUAAUACUACUAAGAACAACAGUAAUGGUCGUAAGACUAUUCGAAUCGGAGCAGGUCUGAAAAAGAAGGAACUACGUUGGACGCACCUACUUCCGGGAUGCGUCUUACCUCGGCGCACCUUCACCAACGAGUGAUGAUACGUUCUCUUAAUGAUCUUUACAUCUCAUAUAUUAAAACAUGUUUUAUUAAAUUUAUCGAAAUCUUAUUUUCUCACGAAUUAGACAAAUCUUCAUUUGUCGUACCUUAUUAAGAACGCAACGACAGAUCAUUCUUUGCGAGUAAAACGUUAGCGCGCUUAUAAUGGAGGAAGCCAUUACCUCAUUCCGCAUCCUUAAGUUCCUAUCGAACCGCUCUACCGACUCGACCGACGAUCGAACCACUUUACUUUCUAUCUAACGUUCGAACUUUAGCAAAAGAAGAGGAUUAAACGCAGGAUACGUCAUUGGAAAGAUUCUAGCUCGAUUGCUCAUGACAAAGGUAUUCAUAAAUUCCUCCUUCUAACGAACAAAUCAGACUACAUCGAAUAUCUUUGCGACCUCGAGAAAAUGCUCGUGGCACGAUAACCACUAACGCCGCCGAGUUCGAAUAACAUUAAAAUCAUUGUGACCUUAUCUCCAAGCCUGCGUACUUUCACCUACUCGAAGUACGGCUCUAUGUUCAAAUAUAUGUAUAAUAGUUUAGCGCGCUAUCCAUACGAUGCUUCAAAUUGAUGCAUAUAUUGUAUAUUGUAAUGAUAAUUAACAAGUUGAAUCACAUGAAAAGAUCCUUUCUCUCAUGCGAAAAGAAGAAGUAGGAGAAGAAGAAGAAGCAGCAGCAGCAGCAGCAGCAGCAGCAAGAAUUAGAGUUACUUGAAAUUAUGUAAUCGCUUUCUUCAUGUAAAUGCUUCUUACGAGCGCAAUCUUUUUGCCUGAUCAGUCCCUUUUAAUGAAAACCCUUAGAGUUUUACGAAAAGCAUGAAAUUUUAACAAAAAAUUCCAGGCGAUCUGCAAAUGUAUGAAAUUCCAUACGUUCACCGAUUUUCUCUUGUCACGACAACAUAAGGUGCGCAUAAGGUGAAGGUAUCGAUUGCGCAACAUCUAUAUUAUGCAACGAAGGCGGCUUCCUGCUGUUAUCCAAUCGUCCGGAGCACAGGAACUCGAUAUAGUUGCACAGUCGCUAUUUUCAUAACUUUUCUUUUUCUUAGCUUCGUCAAAGUGUUCGGAUAAAUCAAAUUAUCCACGUAAUAACGAACAGGUUUUUCAUUUAUCCAAAUAUCUAUAGUAUAUGGAAUAAGCAUUUUGCGAGUAUUUGCAUUUGCAUUUAGAGAAUUAUUUUGGAAGCCGUAGCGCGCAUCUGACAUUUGGAACCGUUGCGAAAGCGACUGUGGGAAGUUCUACGCGAAGCUGAUAUUUACGCGCGAAGAAAGUAAAGGCACCAGAGCCAUGAUGUUUCGAGUUCGAUCGAUUCUCGCUUAUGUCGCAAACAAGAUUCUCCAUCUCCUCCAUUGGGCUAUACCUGCGUAUACCAAUGUCGAAUCCAAUACUGGACACGCAAUCAUGCACGUAUAGAUAUAGUUCGAAAGAAGAUAGGAGGAACCCACGCCUUAUACUCACCCCCUGUGUUCGCUUCUCUACAAUUCCCCUUCUUACGUCUGCCCUUACGACGGCCCUUACGUCGAAAUCUGGCCACACCUCGAGAAUACUCUUCCGAGUAUUAGUCACUUCUAGCACAGCUGGGUUACGUCCCCGGAGUUUUUGCUGGUUCUUCCCUUCUCCAUUUUCAAGACUGAAUCAAUCUCGGUUUAUCCUAGAGAAUAGCGGCAAAUUUUUUCAUGAUUUUUCCAAGAUGCGUAUUGCUUAUCACACAAUUAUUCACAAUAUAUUGUAAUAUAAAAACGUAACGUGAAUGAAGAUUCGUUUGCUUUGCUUUUUAUCCUUGCGCUUUCCUAAUCGAUAGCGCGUGCAAUGCGUAUCUAGGUUGCUCUUGUGAAAAUGGGAAUAUAGCGAAGGGAGCUGAUUUAGGAGAGAGAGAGAGAGAGAGAGAGAGAGAGAGAGAGAGAGAGGGCUGAAUUUGUUUGUCGAACCGGGCUUCUCUGCUAAUGCCCUAGUUAGUACUUUGGUUUCUUUUGUGCCACCCUCCGGCUACCACGUCCCCCAAAUCCGUGGAUUUGAACCCUCGCAGGAACGGGAAAUGCACCCUUCCGCUAUUCUACUACGGCUAUUCUACGUUGUAGAAUGCAAUUUUCAUUUUGCACGCAGUUCAAACGCAUCGCCGACCUUUAUAACGUUUUUGCUCGUCUCUCUCUCUCUCUCUCUGUUUAAUAAAUCUAUUUUAUAUUUUUUUUUUUUAAAUAUAAUAAAGUAUAAGAAGACUUAGGAAUUUCUUUAGUUUCUUCCUACUAUCAUAAGUGAGUUGUUUAGUUUUUUGAUCUGUCGAAUUGGAAUACGUAGACCUUGUAUCAUAUUCGUCAACGAAUAUAAGGGAAGCCCUUCUCACCGAUGUUUCGUAUUUUGAAAGCAAGCCACUCUAAAUGAUGAGAUUUUCGAUGGCAUCCGUCGCGCGGCCAUCCGACCCUUCGGUCGCGUUUGUUGAAAGAAACCGGAGCGCAUUAAAGUAUUGCUGGAGCGCUUUCGCUUUUGGCUUUGCUUUUGCUUUUGCUUUUGCUUUUGCUUUUGCUUUUGCCUUUAUGGCCGCCUGGAACAAUGACGAAUCCCCGACGUCAUUGUGGUUGCCCCUGCAGCUCCGAUGAAAAUACAGGAAAGGGAAAAAUAUAAAAGAAAGCGCGAAAGGCGAAUGUAGGAAAAAAGAAAAUGGAAAACAAAAAGAAAAAAAGAGCAAGGUGUGCAUCAGGCAACAGUCACUCGCUCCUGAUUACACGGACCAUUGUGCAAUAACAACAAAAUCGGUAUACGAGAGGAUGAGUGUAAAAUAAUGCCUAUGACUGGGGUAAGAACUAAGGGUAAGACCUAAGGGUAAGACACAGGCUACAACGGUAUAGCGCAAAAAAAAUAAGUAACAUUUUUUCAAUUAAUGAAACAUAAAGCAAGAUAUAACUUUUCCAUAAUGACCAUCAGCAAUGAAGCAAUCUUCAACAAUCCCCCGGAUAUUAAUACUCCUCCAAUAAGCAUACAUUUAUAAUGGCAUUUCUCCAAGCCGACUUGCUAAAUUGUUAUUGAUAAUAUUUUUCUAUUGACAAUAGGAAUACAAGUAAAACCUUCUUAUGGAAUAGAAUAGAUAUUUCUAAAUUUUCCAAUAUAAAAUUGUCAUUUUAUCGUCUUCCUCUCAGAUAAAUGCUGCUUUGAUCAAACAAAAACCUUCAUCUUUUCGUACACAUUUAACAAAAAUGAAAUGUUCAUAAAGUUACAUUAAUGAAUCUUAUGACAAUACUGUAUACUAAAAAGAAAAAGAUUCUAGUUUUUACGUAUACCACGUAAGCCGCUGUGUUACAACGAAUGCACGUGCAUCGGAUUAAAGACUUGUCGUUGAUUCUUCGCUAACCUGUCGCGGAGAAACCGGAAACGAGUUGAAUUCUUACGUGGAAACGCCUUGAUCCCGCAGGCCAAGCAGGUAGGACUGGUAAAACGGGUGGGGCUUCCGCUUUGAGAUCGUCGAUCAGGAUUGAUACAUCGAUCAUUCCUCAUACGUAUAAAAGAACCGUACAAGUAGUUGAACAAUCCUUAUCACGAGUAAUCUCAUUAAUCGCCAUAAAGAGCUUUGUAUUUUUUCAAAACAUGACGUUCCUACGACUGAUGUGAAUCGUAAAAAAACAUAAAAAAACUACGUAGGAAAUAAUUAAUAUACAAUAUAUUAGGUAUCGGUAAAUCCUGAGCAAUGUAUAUAUAUAUAUAUUAUAGUCUUUUAUUUGAUUUCAUUAACGAUUAUAUAAAUGCGUUCCUUGGACAAAGAUUUCGCUACUUUUGUAACCUUUUGCUCAUGAUACAUAGAUACGACGCGAGAUCACUGAAGAACUUUAACAUAAACCGCAACACAGGAGGAUGAGGCAAUGUUACCAAGUAUCGACGUUUCGGUGUAACGAUAUCUUCUUUGAAGGUUUUACGUGUCUACGACCUUCUAAGGGUGCGGUUGCGAUCGCGAGAUUCUAACGUUAUGACAUUCGAACGAACGAUGUCAAAUGAAUUUUAGUAUUUGACAAAAGAAAUCAAAUAUAAGUGCAUAUCGCGACAACAACGACUAUGAAACUAAUUUAGAUAGAAAAUAAAUAGAUUAUACUUGGACGAAUGUUGAAUUUUGAUUGAGAGUUGAACGCGCGUGAGUUAUAAGCAAACGCGAGUCCUAACAACUAUUUCCCACGAUUCAUGAUACGCGUCAAAAUAUUCAUCAUCGAGUAGGGAUAACGGUGCUGAGAUACUUUUCGUUCGAACAGCGACUUUAAAUCCCGAAGCAAGGUAGUAUCGGUAUUUCUUGCGGUUCUUUGUCCCGCAGGCCGUAUACCAACCUCACCUCACCUGUGCCAGGCCAGUUCGUCCAAGUAACUCGAUCACGCGUGGCAUACCGUGUAUGUGUGCGUGUGUGAGAGAGAGAGAGAGAGAGUGUGUGUGUGUGUAUGUGUAUGGGGUAUUCCUCCCUCCUCCAACUAUGGUAACAUCCUUCGAAGCGUCUCCAUCUUCGCACUCGCUUCAUCUAUUCUCACAGUACAAAGUUAUCGUUUUGCUUCCAUUUCUGUUUGUAUUCCUUUUACGAAGAAGAAACAUCGACCGAAUUAUUGCUAGUUGAGAUUAUAACAAAUGAUAGAGAAAAGAGGUGUUAAUGUUCCAACGUAUGUAUCUUGAUUCGAUUAUAGAAAAGAAAAAGCGAUAAAAGGAAAUAGCGUAGAAGGUAUGGUGAGACGAGGUGAGACGAGAAGGGAAAAAUGGCCGCACAGCAGGUCGGUCAUAGACUGCUUUUUCUAAAGAGUAUGAGAAGCUGGAAUAACCGACCCGAUGAACCGAGGUUCCGGAGGACAGAACGGUACACGAUGCCUUCCUCCUCUUUCUUCUCCAACCUUCACCGAGAGGCCACCGAAGAUGAGGGCCAGCAGGACCUCGGAGUUCCCACUCUUGGAAUUCCUAAGUACGCUUCUGAUGGACACGCGCUAGUAUACGUAUACGGUACUCGCGUCGUUUGUUACUUUGCCAAGGUACGCAAUGUAUGUAUGUUUUUAAGAAAAUAGUUAACGUCGUUGCACUCUUAUUCGCCUUAUUCUGAUCGCAACCACAUAUAAUUCUAUUUUCUACUAUUAAACAUUAUUUUCUUGCAAACAUUUAUCAUCGUUUGCGCAUCCUUUAGGCGUCUAUUAGGCAUCUAUUACGCGUCGUUUACGCCUCGUUUACGUAUUGAAUAUUUCAAACGAACGCGCUUGUUUCGAGUCAUCCUGGAGGCAGAGCUCUACGUUGUAAGUUAAAUCUCUAAUUGAAAUCAUUUCAACUUGCUUCGCAAUCUAGACGCGUUGAGAAAGUUUUGACUCUCGAGCGCAGCAACUCGGACGAAAAGUACUUGCUUGCAAUAAGCAAAAAGUAUCUGUCUUUUGCAACGAUUGUUUAUUCCACAUUUCCAAUUCUUAUGGUAUUCUUGCCAUGAGAGCACUUUAAUAGACGAUUAAAGGUCAACGACAAUUCCGAGAACACUCGACAAGUUUCAUCUCGAUGUUCUAAAAUGACCCCAAUGCUGCCUUAAUUUAGACAAUUUGUCGCGUGGUCCUAUCUCGACGAUUGCUAUUAUAUACGCUUCUUCAUCCACCUUCACAGACAUAUCCUCCUCACACUUUAUCCUACUUUUGAUCCUUAUCUCUUGCAAAGCUAUUACGAUUUUACGAUUUUACGAUUUUACGAUUUUACGAUUUUAGUGCUUUUCCUAAUUCUAUCGGUAAAAGGAAAACUUCUUUUCCCUGAGACAAUUCAUCCAAAAAAUCUCUUUGAUUUUCAAUUUGAAAAUUCGUCAACGAUACGAAAAAAUGAAACGCGUAACGCGCGAGUGUUCUCCUCUAUUUCCGUUGACGCUUACGUCGUAGCUCGUCGUAGCUCGUCGUAGCUCGUCGUAGCUCGUUGUAAUCAGCCAUAAAGACCCUCGAGUUCCUCCAAGACGAAGGCAAUUCCCCGAGAUGAAGCAGAAGAGAAACGAUGAAACGAAUGGAAGAAGAGGGCACUCCGUUAUCGUUCACCUCUCAUAACGGUUUCUUCGACGGAGGGCGCGAUCCCACAUCGCUUCGUGUCGUCGCUCAGUAAGAAUGGUCCGCCGUUUAUAUCUUUAAGUAUCUCCCUCUGUAUAUGCCCGUGUAUUGUAUCUAACCGAUACGUAUUCAACAUAUUUAUUACAUCAGCAGAUAAUCUACGCCCUGACGCAACUUAAACGAAAUAAAUAAAAAGCAUCUACAAUUUAUCUCUAAUAUUUUAUUUAUUUUCAAAUAUUUCAAAUCUUUCUAAUAUUGAGAGAUAAAGAGAGAAAGAGAGAGAGAGAGAAAGGGAAUAAAGUUACAAAGUGUAAAGGAAUACGAAUGUAUCAUUUCGUAGCUCGUCGUAAUAACACCUUUGUUUCCGGUAAUGGAACAAAACGCCAACUCCUUAAAUGCUUUUAUACCCUCGAUGUAACGGCUCCUCGUGACUUCUUUGGCUUCCGGUACAAGCGAGGGUCACCGAAGACCCGGAAGUUCGUUCGACUCAGCGCAUUAACUUUCCUCGGAGCCCCUCAGUAUUAUAUACCUUUCAAGCCAUUGGAUACUUUGCGAAUUGUAGCACGCGGAAGAAUAAGUGGAAAGGCAAUCUAUGAUACUACAAUCAUUUCAUCUUUUAUUUUUCCUUACAAACGGCAUUCUAAGACCAGCAAGAGAACAACGUUGCUCUAUAAUAAUUACUCGAAUAUUUAAUAUACAAUAUAUCUUCUAUUCUAUUUCUCCAAUAUAUAACAUUAAUAACUGACUUGAAGAAUCAAUGUACAUGUAUUAAGCUUAGAAUUCAAACUAGUAUGUGUUACAGUUCACCUACGUACAUUUAUAUAACGAAACCAAUCCAAAAGAGACAUACACGCGACACCUAUCCUUGCGAAUGUAAAAUUCGCUAUAUGAAGCGCCACAUGUAGGAAAGAUGUGGGAAGAUUCAACGACAGUAUUACAUUACCACAUUUACCCUACAAUUGGCCCUAACGCGCUUGACGCCGACUCAAUUAAGAGGACUCUUUCUCUCUCAUUCUCUCUUUACCAGUAGGAAUAAAUGGACGUAAAAA